UAAGCCUCAUUCGAAAUGCUACAAGCCCGUCCCCAUUCAACCAGCCUUGUGACUCCAUCAACGCCAUCCCACUUACUGGCAUGUCCUCUCCGGCUAGCUCUUCCCAAUGUUUCCUCUCUUCGGCCAGCUUAUUGACGGAGGACCCUCUCUCGCACGCCCUCUCAGGUGUGCUUUCCAUCUCUAUUUUUUUCUCUUUUCCUUUCACUCUCUCUAUUUGUCAGUCUCCCAUCAGUUGUUUUUUUAGAGUCUCGAAGCAAUUUUAGCCAAAUUUCAAAAACUAGAAGUAAUUUUGGCCGAGAGUUUUUGUUUUGCAGCUUCCCUCUUUCACGGUUCUAACGGACCUUUUCUCUUUAAUGCCUGCCUCUUUCUCGUCAUUUUGGUUGAGCUAAAGCCAAACUGCGCAACCAUUCUCUCUCUCUCUCUGUGUCUGUGUUCAAGAUCUGUGAGAGUCUUCUACGGUGAAGUGGGAGUUUUUUUCUUUUUUAAUAAAGUAAUAGGAGGUUUGAGCUUCUUGAAUCCUUCGUCUUUCUCUGGCUGUUGUUGCUUCUGUCUUGUGCCUUUUUCCUUUCUUUUUUUUUUUUCGUCCGAGGUUUUCAAUCUAGGCUUCGUACUUGCUUUUCUUUUUUUUUUUUUUUUUUGGUCUGAGUUUUUCGAUCUAGGCUUCUUACUUGUUUUUCUUCUUCAUUAUGAUUUUUUGUUUUUUCAAAAUUUUUUGGGGGCUUUGAGUGGAGGUUUUUUGAUGAAAGAAAAUGGAACAUUUUCGGACUAAGAGGUCCAAGAUUGCCAGCAUUACUAAACGGGGCUCUGUUUCUAAGGAAUAAGGUCUGUUCUUUUUUCUUUGUUUGUUUUUAAAAAAUUUUUUUGGGGCUUUGAGUGGAGGUUUUUGAUGAAAGAAAAUGGAACAUUUUCGGACUAAGAGGUCCAAGAUUGCCAGCAUUACUGAACGGAGCUCUGUUUCCAAGGAAUAAGAAGCGUAGCUCCGAGAAUUUGGGCUCUGGAAAGUGCAGAGCUGGGUCUUCCGGCCGCUGCCAUUGUUCCAAGAAGAGAGGGUCGUCAGCGUUCCAGCUAUAAGCUUGAAGAUGGCUGAUAUUCCACCUGACGAUUAGUGUUGGAGAAAGUACGGACAGAAACCCAUUAAAGGAACUUCGCAUCCAAGAUUUGGUGAAUGAAGCUUGAGAGAUAUGUUUAUUUGGAAAAGAAUUUGGGGUAAGUAAAGCUGAUAAUGGAAACUUAUAAACUUUUUAUUCCUUGGUUGCAUUUGAAUUCAUUUAUUGUAUUUGGGUUUUUUUAUUAAUCAAUAUUAUACCAUAGAGAAACAUUAAUGUGAAAGCACAAGCUCUUAAUUAAUAGAAUUGGAUAAGAUAUAUAUAUAGAGAGAGAGAUAGAGGUUCUGCUUUUUGAUAACAAAUGAUGCAUUUAAAAGUUAGUAGGAAUUUUAUUUUUGAGGUCUUUGUUUAAAUAUCAGAUUUAUGACCAUUUGAAAAAUAUUAUUUGCAUUAAUCCAGUGUCUGAGGCCACAGACCCCAUUUUUGCCGACUUUCCCAAUUGCAUUUUGUUGGAAAUCUAUAAAAGUCCUUACCAGCUAUAUACAUAUCGUACACUCCUCAUCCAUCUCUCCAAAAACUAGAAGCAAUUUUGGCCGAGAGUUUUUGUUUUUGUUUGUCAAGAACUUCAAACCCCCAGCCAUCCCCAAACCCUGCAAUCCCCAUCUACAGAAUAAGCUGAGGAUUUUGAUUACGUUGGGGUUUGUUGCCAAACUGAUGAGGAACAUCCUGUGGAGGCUAAGAAUGAGGUAUAAAAUUGUUUUUGCUUUUUUAUUAGUAAGGUCAUAUCUAUAUUAUAUAUAUAUAUAUAUAUAUAUAGCAACUUGCUUCUUGUUUAUUCAGUUUUAUCUUUUUUUAUUUAAUCGCAUGAAAAAUGGGGGAACUUUUGCAAAUUUGUUGAUUCCUUUCCAUUUGACUACUUUUUGCUCACAUAAUUUUUCUUUUUUUUUUUUUUUUCUGCUUAGAUCAUUUAUUUUGUAUUUAGAUUUGCACUUAAUCUUGCUUUAUAGGUAGGAGGGGUUUCGUUUGCUAAAUUUAUAGGUAGCAACCAAUCUUGCUUUUUUUCACUUGAUGGUGCGCGGAGCAUAUAGGAACAAAGACUGUUGUGCAGAUCAAAAGUCAUGCACAAAAAUUCUUUUCAAAGGUCAAUUGGAACCUUCUCAUCUUAUACUUCCAUGAGCUGUGUAUUUCUACUUGUUUUUACUUAGUUGUCUGCAAAAUUGACACUGUAAUUUGUAAUUCCAUAUUGGGAGUGAAAUAUUCAUUGGUGAUUUUCUUUUGUGAUGUUAUUGUCAAUUCCAUACAGUUCUUCCCUUUUGGUGCUGUUGUGACAAGUAGCAGUUUUUCUUCUAUGCUUUUAUCUGUAGCACUAAUGAGAGAAACACUAAUGUUAUUCUCCAAAAGCACUUUGGAAUUCUAAGAAGACACUACUCUCAUUUUCGAACCACCUAAUGAUUGGUGACACCCAGAGCAAGAGGUGCUGAUUACUACAUUUGUUUAUAGAUUUUAUUAUCUAUUUUUGUACAUAUUUAAAUCAUUGUAUUAUGUAACGACAAUUAUUUCGAUGUAAAGUCAAAUUAUA